ACCGAUAGUGAACCAGUACCGUGAGGGAAAGGCGAAAAGAACCCCGGCGAGGGGAGUGAAAAAGAACCUGAAACCGUGUACGUACAAGCAGUGGGAGCACGCUUAGGCGUGUGACUGCGUACCUUUUGUAUAAUGGGUCAGCGACUUAUAUUCUGUAGCAAGGUUAACCGAAUAGGGGAGCCGAAGGGAAACCGAGUCUUAACUGGGCGUUAAGUUGCAGGGUAUAGACCCGAAACCCGGUGAUCUAGCCAUGGGCAGGUUGAAGGUUGGGUAACACUAACUGGAGGACCGAACCGACUAAUGUUGAAAAAUUAGCGGAUGACUUGUGGCUGGGGGUGAAAGGCCAAUCAAACCGGGAGAUAGCUGGUUCUCCCCGAAAGCUAUUUAGGUAGCGCCUCGUGAAUUCAUCUCCGGGGGUAGAGCACUGUUUCGGCAAGGGGGUCAUCCCGACUUACCAACCCGAUGCAAACUGCGAAUACCGGAGAAUGUUAUCACGGGAGACACACGGCGGGUGCUAACGUCCGUCGUGAAGAGGGAAACAACCCAGACCGCCAGCUAAGGUCCCAAAGUCAUGGUUAAGUGGGAAACGAUGUGGGAAGGCCCAGACAGCCAGGAUGUUGGCUUAGAAGCAGCCAUCAUUUAAAGAAAGCGUAAUAGCUCACUGGUCGAGUCGGCCUGCGCGGAAGAUGUAACGGGGCUAAACCAUGCACCGAAGCUGCGGCAGCGACGCUGAUGCGUUGUUGGGUAGGGGAGCGUUCUGUAAGCCUGCGAAGGUGUGCUGUGAGGCAUGCUGGAGGUAUCAGAAGUGCGAAUGCUGACAUAAGUAACGAUAAAGCGGGUGAAAAGCCCGCUCGCCGGAAGACCAAGGGUUCCUGUCCAACGUUAAUCGGGGCAGGGUGAGUCGACCCCUAAGGCGAGGCCGAAAGGCGUAGUCGAUGGGAAACAGGUUAAUAUUCCUGUACUUGGUGUUACUGCGAAGGGGGGACGGAGAAGGCUAUGUUGGCCGGGCGACGGUUGUCCCGGUUUAAGCGUGUAGGCUGGUUUUCCAGGCAAAUCCGGAAAAUCAAGGCUGAGGCGUGAUGACGAGGCACUACGGUGCUGAAGCAACAAAUGCCCUGCUUCCAGGAAAAGCCUCUAAGCAUCAGGUAACAUCAAAUCGUACCCCAAACCGACACAGGUGGUCAGGUAGAGAAUACCAAGGCGCUUGAGAGAACUCGGGUGAAGGAACUAGGCAAAAUGGUGCCGUAACUUCGGGAGAAGGCACGCUGAUAUGUAGGUGAAGUCCCUCGCGGAUGGAGCUGAAAUCAGUCGAAGAUACCAGCUGGCUGCAACUGUUUAUUAAAAACACAGCACUGUGCAAACACGAAAGUGGACGUAUACGGUGUGACGCCUGCCCGGUGCCGGAAGGUUAAUUGAUGGGGUCAGCGCAAGCGAAGCUCUUGAUCGAAGCCCCGGUAAACGGCGGCCGUAACUAUAACGGUCCUAAGGUAGCGAAAUUCCUUGUCGGGUAAGUUCCGACCUGCACGAAUGGCGUAAUGAUGGCCAGGCUGUCUCCACCCGAGACUCAGUGAAAUUGAACUCGCUGUGAAGAUGCAGUGUACCCGCGGCAAGACGGAAAGACCCCGUGAACCUUUACUAUAGCUUGACACUGAACAUUGAGCCUUGAUGUGUAGGAUAGGUGGGAGGCUUUGAAGUGUGGACGCCAGUCUGCAUGGAGCCGACCUUGAAAUACCACCCUUUAAUGUUUGAUGUUCUAACGUUGACCCGUAAUCCGGGUUGCGGACAGUGUCUGGUGGGUAGUUUGACUGGGGCGGUCUCCUCCUAAAGAGUAACGGAGGAGCACGAAGGUUGGCUAAUCCUGGUCGGACAUCAGGAGGUUAGUGCAAUGGCAUAAGCCAGCUUGACUGCGAGCGUGACGGCGCGAGCAGGUGCGAAAGCAGGUCAUAGUGAUCCGGUGGUUCUGAAUGGAAGGGCCAUCGCUCAACGGAUAAAAGGUACUCCGGGGAUAACAGGCUGAUACCGCCCAAGAGUUCAUAUCGACGGCGGUGUUUGGCACCUCGAUGUCGGCUCAUCACAUCCUGGGGCUGAAGUAGGUCCCAAGGGUAUGGCUGUUCGCCAUUUAAAGUGGUACGCGAGCUGGGUUUAGAACGUCGUGAGACAGUUCGGUCCCUAUCUGCCGUGGGCGCUGGAGAACUGAGGGGGGCUGCUCCUAGUACGAGAGGACCGGAGUGGACGCAUCACUGGUGUUCGGGUUGUCAUGCCAAUGGCACUGCCCGGUAGCUAAAUGCGGAAGAGAUAAGUGCUGAAAGCAUCUAAGCACGAAACUUGCCCCGAGAUGAGUUCUCCCUGACUCCUUGAG
rnacentral:rRNA from 1 species